rnacentral:lncRNA from 1 species
CUGUAUUGCACAUCUGUUGCAUAGCAACAAAAUAAAGUUUGUCUGUUUAGGAAAAUCUGAAGGCGUCUUAUAACAUAAAGAUAAAGAAUGCUUUCUGAACUCUUAUUUGCUUCAAUGUGUGCUUUGUCACAUGCCAAUUAUAGAAGAACAUCAGGAUGAGAGUUUAUUUUAGGUGAUACAAAUGUUAACANNNNNNAUACAGGGUAUUAUUUUUAUGUUUAUGUGAUGGGAAAUCUUAUCUAUUUAAAAAAAAAUGCAAUUUCCUGUCCUUAUCCAAUGCUUACUUGAGUAGUCAGUAUCUUGUUUCUUCCCUAAGAAUUUUUUGGGGGAGUUUAUUUUUAGCCAGUUAUUUGUUUCUAUUUCUAUUGCUAUUUUUCUGAAUAUCAUUUCAGAUAAUGCCCAUAGGUUCAACUGAAAAUUUUCCAGGAUCUUCUGAAAACCAAGAACUGUGUUACCCUGAAUGAUGCCAAUACAAUGGGUGAAAUUCAAGUGUGCACUAUAUUUAUUUGUUCAUUUGUUCAGCCUCAUUGGGAAAAAGAUCCUGGCUCAGUUUCCUACUUGUGUUCUCUGGUUAGAUCAUCUACCUUUCAAGUUGAUUCAUUUUUUAUUAUAGUCAAAAUCCUAAGUCUAACAGUGUGGGGAUCUUCUUAUUGAUGGAGUAGUUUAUAGCAAUAUGCUUCACAUUAUGUAUUAGAGUUUUAUUACUAACCUCACUAGUUGAAAGUCAAAACCAACCCACCCCAAAGUUUUAUUUAACGUUAGGAUGCUCAGAAUCUCAGCUGUGAAAUGAAGACACAGCAUGGUGAUAUAUGUGAGAAUGUAUUGUGAAUUAUAAAUUGAACAUCAAANNNNNAUUUGUAAUAAUUCUUUUUUAUAUUACUUACUUUAAAAUUUGACUUUUUGUGAAAAAUCAUUAAGGAUUUCAAGCAAUUCAACAAAGUAAAAUCAAAACCACAUAUUUUAUCACAUAAAUAUAAUUGUUAUUUAUAUUAGGUGAAUACUCUUUCAGACACUGCUAUAUACAUAUAAUAAAUAGCAUCUGGAUACAUAGAUAAAAAUGGCUUUGCUAGAAUGGAACUACACAGUAAAUGUUACAUUUAAGUAAAAUAUUCAAUUUAGUUUUACUUGAAUUUAGUGGGAGGGAAAGUGAAAUUGCAGGAAUUCUUAAAAUUAAGGUAAAUAGUUCUUCCAAAAAGAAAUAUAGCAUGUAAGUACCUGCUUAUGACAUUUUGAAAAUUAUUUAAAACUUAAGAAGUUUGAGUGAAUUGUUAUUUCUGGCAUAUACAUUUUAUAUGAUAUCAGUUAACUAAUCACUAUAAAAAAUGAAGAAAUUAGCCUCUUACAUCUACUCUCUUUUCUAUUUUUCUCCCCUUCUCUUUAAAUAUUAUUAAUG